rnacentral:lncRNA from 1 species
AGAACAGCAAACCAGAGCCUCCAGCUGGAGUGAGACAGAAGCAGGUGCAGAGCUUGGAGUCCCAAGUGAGUCACCUUCCCUCCCUCCCAUUUGACCAGGAGAGACCUGAGGAACCAGCAAUCACAAACUCAGAGAAGCUUCCAAGAAUGAAGAGAAACCAUCUUAGCUGUGUUCUGUAUCCCUGCCAUCCCAGAAGGUGUAUAUUAAGUCGUGGGCCACCUCCCCAGGAUGUGGUUUUCAUUCCUUUCUGGAACAGACUGGCCUCUCC